rnacentral:rRNA from 1 species
AAUACAUCGGAACGUGUCCUGGAGUGGGGGAUAGCCCGGCGAAAGCCGGAUUAAUACCGCAUACGCUCUGAGGAGGAAAGCGGGGGAUCUUCGGACCUCGCGCUCAAGGGGCGGCCGAUGGCAGAUUAGCUAGUUGGUGGGGUAAAGGCCUACCAAGGCGACGAUCUGUAGCUGGUCUGAGAGGACGACCAGCCACACUGGGACUGAGACACGGCCCAGACUCCUACGGGAGGCAGCAGUGGGGAAUUUUGGACAAUGGGGGCAACCCUGAUCCAGCAAUGCCGCGUGCGUGAAGAAGGCCUUCGGGUUGUAAAGCACUUUUGUCCGGAAAGAAAACUUCGCUCCUAAUACGGGUGGAGGAUGACGGUACCGGAAGAAUAAGCACCGGCUAACUACGUGCCAGCAGCCGCGGUAAUACGUAGGGUGCGAGCGUUAAUCGGAAUUACUGGGCGUAAAGCGUGCGCAGGCGGUUCGCUAAGACCGAUGUGAAAUCCCCGGGCUUAACCUGGGAACUGCAUUGGUGACUGGCGGGCUAGAGUAUGGCAGAGGGGGGUAGAAUUCCACGUGUAGCAGUGAAAUGCGUAGAGAUGUGGAGGAAUACCGAUGGCGAAGGCAGCCCCCUGGGCCAAUACUGACGCUCAUGCACGAAAGCGUGGGGAGCAAACAGGAUUAGAUACCCUGGUAGUCCACGCCCUAAACGAUGUCAACUGGUUGUCGGGUCUUCAUUGACUUGGUAACGUAGCUAACGCGUGAAGUUGACCGCCUGGGGAGUACGGUCGCAAGAUUAAAACUCAAAGGAAUUGACGGGGA